CCGUAGGGGGAACCUGCGGAGGGAUCAUUACCGAGUUUACAACUCCCAAACCCCUGUGAACAUACCACUUGUUGCCUCGGCGGAUCAGCCCGCUCCCGGUAAAACGGGACGGCCCGCCAGAGGACCCCUAAACUCUGUUUCUAUAUGUAACUUCUGAGUAAAACCAUAAAUAAAUCAAAACUUUCAACAACGGAUCUCUUGGUUCUGGCAUCGAUGAAGAACGCAGCAAAAUGCGAUAAGUAAUGUGAAUUGCAGAAUUCAGUGAAUCAUCGAAUCUUUGAACGCACAUUGCGCCCGCCAGUAUUCUGGCGGGCAUGCCUGUUCGAGCGUCAUUUCAACCCUCAAGCACAGCUUGGUGUUGGGACUCGCGUUAAUUCGCGUUCCUCAAAUUGAUUGGCGGUCACGUCGAGCUUCCAUAGCGUAGUAGUAAAACCCUCGUUACUGGUAAUCGUCGCGGCCACGCCGUUAAACCCCAACUUCUGAAUGUUGACCUCGGAUUCAUGGGUAGGAAUACCCGCUGAACUUAAGCAUAUCAAUAAGCGGAGGAA
rnacentral:rRNA from 1 species